CUCAUAGUGUAUCAUCUGAUUUUUAUUUGCAUUUCGUGCGAUUUGAUGGGGUGAAAGUAGUUUAGUUCUCAAUUGUUUGUUGGUAAAGAGAAGAACUAUUAGUAACAUGGCUGCAAAUAGGAGUUGGAUGUAUGCUAGGCUUAACGAUGGACUUUUGAAUCCCAAUUUCUUGCGAGGAAUAAAUGAGUUCAUUGAUUUUGCAAAAAUGCAUCCAGAGUGUAUGGAUGGUAUCAAAAUUAAGUGCCCAUGUAAUCAUCGCAAGUGCCAAAAUCUAUAAGGUAAGCGGAACAAUUUUUUGUGGGGUUUUCAAUUAUAGACUUUGUCUACAAUGUUUUGUGAGUUUA